CUCUCUCUCUCUCUCUCUCUCUCUCUCUUCCUCACUUACAUCAUCUCCAGAUCUGGUGCGGCCAACAGCCCCUGCCCUGCAUCUCUUCCCCAGCCAGGUACUCAUUUCUCUCAAAUAGAUAUUUAGGUUUUUUAUUUUAGAUCUGUAAAUCCACAGAUUAUCAGAGGAUACAAUAUUGGAAUUAGGGAUUUCCUAAACUCUGUCAUGGGAAAAGGAUUAGGGCUUUCCUAAAAAAUCACUUUUAUGGUUUAUUGGUUUGAUUUUCUUGAAGGAAUUGUAGGGCCCUACUCUGUAUGUUGCUGAAGCACAGGAUCUGUACAUGUGGAUCCCAUGGAUCAUUGGUCCAAACAGUGUUCCCUUUGGCUCCACCAUGAAUGAAGGAUGCCCUAGAAACCUCCCAGAUUAGAAAAUCAUAACUAUCUAAUAUGUGUUUUUUUUUCAUUGAAUGUGGAUGGUUGCUGCAUUUUUUCCCUUAACUAUUUUAGGCUACCAUAUUUAGAUGUUGGGAUCUUGCAAUCUGGAACGUUUCGUGGGCAUCCUCGAGCCUUGAUGGGGUUCCAUCAGAUCAAAGGUUUAGAUCGCUAAAACAUGGGCUCCACCACACACAUGGAAUCCUGAAUGUCAGCAGACCAUAUAUUUGCAGAUGAGCAGGACGAUGUAAUUCUUCCUCAGUCAAUCAGUUCCAAGGUUUAUUUAAGUUGGGUUAGGGUUCUCUAGUCUAUUUUUUGAGCUCAUGCUAAUUAAGAUAUUGGCUUUCGUGGGGGCCCAGUAAGCUUCUUUUUUCUUUUCUUCUUUUGGCAAGUUUGCAAAAGCCGUUGAAUGAAUUUGUAGUGUAGGUUUUGGUUACCAACCCAUGAAACCAGGAUAUGCUCUCCGGGAGGCCUUUUGUUAUCGAUAGGUACUCGUAGUGCUUCAAACAUUGAAGCAUCUUAAAAGUUUCUUCCCCUUUUUCAGAAAGUAAAAGAUUGCGGGUAUCUGGAAACAAAGAAUUGGGACACAGAAAAGCUGCUUCAGCAAAAGCUAAUCUUUUCACUUCAAACUGUGAGACCUUUACUGAAUCUGCAUCUUUAUCAGUAUCUUCAAUUGUCAACACUAAUAGCAAAAUUUGCUCCUGGUUUUGGUAUUGGGGCACUUGAGGAACUUGAUGUUCAAGAUGAGGAUAUAUAUGCUUCUGGUGAGUUUUUGAAACUGCCAUCACCAUUCGUCUAUCGACUAAUUAAUAGUACAAAAUAGAGGUUUAGAGAUUUCAUUAUGGUUAUUGCAGCACUUUUUAUGUCACCAUUUUGUCCUAAAUGGCAAAUGCUGAUGUUGACUAAGAGAUUGUAG